rnacentral:tRNA from 3 species
GGAGAGGUGUCCGAGUGGCUUAAGGUGCGGAUCUCGAAAGUCUGUGUACAAUUUGUACCGUGGGUUCAAAUCCCACCCUCUCCG